AAACAACAUCGUGUCGUUGCUUAGUUUUUUUCAAAGUGCUGGGACUAUGUAUUUUUCAUUCUGUUGGUCAUAUAGAAAUAUAUAGAAAGAUGAACAGUAAUUGUUCUGAUAGUGUAUAAUCCGUUUUGUUUUCUUUUCACUGAAGUGUACAUUUUAAAGAAACUUGAAUGUUUUUUUAUUGGUACAUGAAAAUAAAGUCAUGAAAAUUUAAUAAAUCAUGAAUUCUGCAUCCUAUACACAUGGUAUUGUCUAAAUCUACAAACCUCAACAAAAAUUACGCCGCUGAAUGCAGUCAAAAUGUUGCACAAAUUUUCUUGCAGUCAAAAUGUUCUACUCCAAAAGAGUCUACAUAUUUAUCUCUCACCUGCAAAAAAAAAGGCGCAUAGGCAGAGGUAUGGAUACAUGUCACAGGAUUCACUCACUCUGUAUCGGUCACUGAUUUUCUCCUUUCUUCUCCACAGCCACAGGUGACUAACCUCCUUCUUCCCCACGGAGCCGCAUCACCUCUAUGGCCCUGAAAUCCCCACCAAGAUGGUGGUGCCGACUAACCCCGCCUUGCUUCUCCGUUCAGGUUUCGGUGGACCCGGCCUGGCCGACGCCCGCGACUUGGCUCAAAAUCCACCAGAUGACGGAGUUCGAGCUUCUCGCCGUGACGCACGACCUCCUCACCUCCACGCUCUUCCCCACACCCUGGCCCCAGCUCCAUCCCUUCACCUCCUUGACGCGGGAGCACCAGAGCGCGGGGCACGAUGGUACUGCUGGUGGACACGGCGGGGGCGGACGGAGCGAGGGCGCUAAACCGGCACCACCGCGGAUCUCCUACUUCACCGCCCUGGAGCUCCUCGAGCUUUGCCCCCAACGUCCUCGUCUCCGGACACCAGGGCCUCGGUGCCGAGAUCGCAAAGAACCUUUUCCUUGCGGGUGAUAAAUCCGUAACUUUGCACAUGAUGGUAAUGUGUAGUCGUGGGACUUAUGAAGCAACUUCUUCAUCUCAGAGAAGGAUGUUGGGCAAAACAGUGCGCAAGCUUUUAUAUCAUCUGUUGUGAAAAUAUCAUCUGUUGAGUUCGAAUAAGGAGCUUAUAUACCUGUUUUAUGGUCCAAGUCCAGUGGUGUCUUUAUUGACCUGUAUCCUGUGAACACAGUCUGUUGUUAUGUAUGUGAUGAUGGAACUGCAAUGCUGAUUUUUGACGCGAGGAAAACUAAAAGUUAGACAUCCCAUACUCAAUUUCUUCAAACUGGACAAGUGAGGUGCUUUGAAGGCCAGGAGCCUCAGCUCGUGUACACACGCCAGGAGCCUCUAAUGCAGCAUAGUGGCCUGCCUGUAAACUGUGCUACCUUUGCAAGAAUUUGAUUACAGGCACCUGUGUGCCAUUGAGAGUUUUCAAAAUAAACAUAUGCAUUCAACUAAAAUCAGGUUGAAACUAAUGACAGAAGCAUGGGUGGACUCUCCGACGAGACGGCAGCGACAACGUAACUUGGUUGGUAGACGUUGGAGUUGUAGCGAGACGACAGCCACAAAGACGGCAGCAACAGAUGUUUGGCUAGGUGUGAGAUCGUCAGACAGAAGUCGUCGCUGUGAGAUCGUCAGAUGGUAGCGACAGAAAAUUGUUUUUCUGGUUGAAAUUGUAUCUCCGGUGGAACUGUGGAAGUGUUUUUCUGGGCGAAGUUGUAUCUCCGGUGGAGGUAGUAUGGUUUUAUUUAUGCGGCCUGAUUUCGUGGUCGUCCAAAUUUCUUUCUGAAA